rnacentral:rRNA from 1 species
UACGUAGGUGGCGAGCGUUGUCCGGAUUUACUGGGCGUAAAGAGCGCGCAGGCGGUCGUUCAAGUCGCGUGUGAAAGCCCCCGGCUCAACUGGGGAGGGUCACGCGAUACUGAUCGACUCGAAGGCAGGAGAGGGAAGUGGAAUUCCCGGUGUAGUGGUGAAAUGCGCAGAUAUCAGGAGGAACACCGGUGGCGAAGGCGGGUCUCUGGGCAACAACUGACGCUGAGGAGCGAAAGCGUGGGAGCGAACAGG